rnacentral:rRNA from 1 species
GACGUAGGGCGCGAGCGUUGUCCGGAUUUAUUGGGCGUAAAGAGCUCGUAGGCGGCUUGUCGCGUCGGCUGUGAAAACCCGCGGCUCAACUGUGGGCGGGCAGCUGAUACGGGCAGGCUGGAGUUCGGUAGGGGAGACUGGAAUUCCUGGUGUAGCGGUGAAAUGCGCAGAUAUCAGGAGGAACACCGGUGGCGAAGGCGGCAUCCUGGACCGGUAUUGACGCUGAGGCGCGAAAGCUAGGGGAGCAAACGGG